rnacentral:misc_RNA from 1 species
AAAGUCAGUAACAAGGUUUCCGUAGGUGAGACCUGCGGAAGGAUCCAAUUAAUGAAUUUAAGGAUUGAAGCCAUAGGGCGAAAGCCCAGUGGUUCUUUCUUUCAUAUCCAUAACACCUGUGCACUGUUGGAUGCUUGCAUCCACUUUUAAACUAAACAUUAUUGUAACAAAUGUAGUCUUAUUAUAACAUAAUAAAA